rnacentral:rRNA from 1 species
CCUUACUACUUGGAUAACCGUGGUAAUUCUAGAGUUAAUACAUGCUAAAAGCCCCAACUUCGGGAGGGGCGUAUUUAUUAGAUAAAAAAUCAAUGCCCUUCUGGGCUACUUGGUGAUUCAUAAUAACUUAACGGAUCGCAUGGCCUUGCGCCGGCGACGGUUCAUUCAAAUUUCUGCCCUAUCAACUUUCGAUGGUAAGGUAUUGGCUUACCAUGGUUUCAACGGGUAACGGGGAAUUAGGGUUCGAUUCCGGAGAGGGAGCCUGAGAAACGGCUACCACAUCCAAGGAAGGCAGCAGGCGCGCAAAUUACCCAAUCCCGACACGGGGAGGUAGUGACAAUAAAUACUGAUACAGGGCUCUUUUGGGUCUUGUAAUCGGAAUGAGUACAAUUUAAACCCCUUAACGAGGAACAAUUGGAGGGCAAGUCUGGUGCCAGCAGCCGCGGUAAUUCCAGCUCCAAUAGCGUAUAUUAAAGUUGUUGCAGUUAAAAAGCUCGUAGUUGAACCUUGGGCCUGGCUGGCCGGUCCGCCUCACCGCGUGUACUGGUCCGGCCGGGCCUUUCCUUCUGGUGAGCCUCAUGCCCUUCACUGGGUGUGUUGGGGAACCAGGACUUUUACUGUGAACAAAUUAGAGUGUUCAAAGCAGGCCUUUGCUCGAAUACAUUAGCAUGGAAUAAUAGAAUAGGACGUGCGGUCCUAUUUUGUUGGUUUCUAGGACCGCCGUAAUGAUUAAUAGGGAUAGUCGGGGGCAUCAGUAUUCAAUUGUCAGAGGUGAAAUUCUUGGAUUUAUUGAAGACUAACUACUGCGAAAGCAUUUGCCAAGGAUGUUUUCAUUAAUCAGUGAACGAAAGUUAGGGGAUCGAAGACGAUCAGAUACCGUCGUAGUCUUAACCGUAAACUAUGCCGACUAGGGAUCGGGCGAUGUUUCUAUCUUGACUCGCUC